rnacentral:rRNA from 1 species
UACGGAGGGUGCAAGCGUUAUCCGGAUUCACUGGGUUUAAAGGGUGCGUAGGUGGGCAGGUAAGUCAGUGGUGAAAUCUUUGGGCUUAACCCGAAAACUGCCAUUGAUACUAUUUGUCUUGAAUAUUGUGGAGGUCAGCGGAAUAUGUCAUGUAGCGGUGAAAUGCUUAGAUAUGACAUAGAACACCAAUUGCGAAGGCAGCUGGCUACGCAAAUAUUGACACUGAUGCACGAAAGCGUGGGGAGCAAACAGG